CUAUAUAAAUUUUACUUUUGUGCAGUAGGGCUAGUGGUUUCACCCAUUCAUACACUCUCUCUAUCCUCUAGCCAAACAAGCAAAGAGGCAUAGGCCUGAGAAGCCAAACGCCCAGGCUGAGAAGCAGGGGCACUGACAGUGUGUGGCGUGAGGAGAAUUCUGGGAGCCAGAUAGAGGUCUGGAAUUUGGAAACUUGCAUCAGAUCAUGAAAGGGCACCAGUAAGAACUGAAGUGAAUCAAUUAAGCUUGUUUCUAUGAAGCCUGCAUUGGAAUCUGAUGGUCUGAAUGUCUGAAUGCCUACCUGAACGUUAAGAUCCUCUUCUGAAGCCCUGCAACAGGUGUCCCCAGUACUGAAUGACUGCCACCCUGGAUAACCACCAGAGAAAGGACCUUUUAAAUCCCAGCACCUCAGUUGUGGAGCAGGCUUCCCAAGCAUGAUUGCCUGGGGCAAUCCUUCUUGUGUUUCUGGUGCCUAGUGAAUACCUUUUUGUUCACACAAGGCCUCUUAAAUGGCCUCCAUUUUUCAUUGUUCAGUUUGGGGGUGCAGUGAGUUUUUGUUUUCUUGUGGUACUUUAGUAAUUUUUAAUCUGAUGUAUUUGUGAUUAUUCUGUAUUUAAAUUAUUUUUACUUACUUACUGUAAACUGCCCAGAAAAUUUAAUAUGAGGUGACACACAAAUGCCACACACAAAUAAACAAGCUCAUUUUUUAAUCUAUUUAGGCUGAAAUCCUGUACCCACUAACCUAGGAAUGGGCCCUAUUGAAUUCAAUGGGCAUAUCUCUAGCUCUGCAUGACCUAAACCCAGGCACUAAUUAAGAAUUCACUGUGUAGUUACAGUACACACAUCUAUUCAGAAGCCUCUUUGUAUUUAAAGGGGUUUACUCCCUAGUAAGUGGGUUCACAACCUAAUCUUUGGUUUAGGGUUGGCAAUGGGGGGGGGGACAGGUUAAGCAUUUUCUAUUUGGAAAUUUAUGGGGGAAAUGUCACCAUGACUGUAUUAUCGAAUUUCAUGUUAUACACUGUUCUCAUGCUCUCUCAAUAUUUGCAUAGUGCCCACUAGUCCAAAAAAGGUGUGUGACCCUUAAUUUAACUGUAUUAAUACAUUCUUCUUUUACACAUGUUUGAGGCCCUUGCAUAAUCUUUCUUCUUCCCUGUUGCAUUCUAAACCACUGUCAUGGACAACUUUUGGUUUGUAACAAACAAUUGCUUAAAGAAAAAAAUAGGAACAGUUGGAACGUGUACAGAGCACUGUGAUGUUAUACUUACUGGCUAG